rnacentral:snoRNA from 1 species
CUGCGGUGAUGAUAGAUACCACUUUGACUUGGUAUUUCCAUUUUGGAAUUGACCAAGAAAUGAUCUAAUGUUAAUCUUCUCUCUGAGCAG